CCUACGGGUGACAGCAGUGAGGAAUAUUGGUCAAUGGACGAGAGUCUGAACCAGCCAAGUAGCGUGAAGGAUGACUGCCCUAUGGGUUGUAAACUUCUUUUAUAAAGGAAUAAAACGAGGCACGUGUGCCUUUUUGUAUGUACUUUAUGAAUAAGGAUCGGCUAACUCCGUGCCAGCAGCCGCGGUAAUACGGAGGAUCCGAGCGUUAUCCGGAUUUAUUGGGUUUAAAGGGAGCGUAGAUGGGUUGUUAAGUCAGUUGUGAAAGUUUGUGGCUCAACCGUAAAAUUGCAAUUGAAACUGGCAGUCUUGAGUACAGUUGAGGUAAGCGGAAUUCGUGGUGUAGCGGUGAAAUGCUUAGAUAUCACGAAGAACCCCGAUUGCGAAGGCAGCUUACGAAACUGUGACUGACAUUGAUGCUCGAAAGUGUGGGUAUCAAACAGGAUUAGAUACCCCUGUAGUC
rnacentral:rRNA from 1 species